UAUCUAACAAUUGAAAUUGCAAAAACCCUAAUCUGUUAACACUUUUGUACUCUUCUGCCGUCUCUUCCUCAUCGUCUCUCCCCUUCCUUCCUCCGCCUCCACCGCCUGACUCACUGUCUCACCUUCCUUCAUCCGCCUCCGACUCACUGUGAUUUCCUCCUCAGCUUCCUACUUCCUCAGUUUCACCUUCAUCUUCACGCCAUUCAAGCCCGACAGAGACAGACAUCAUCAGCCUUCAUCUUCAACUAUUGUAGUGUAGUGUGGCGUCUCAUUCCUCACCUGGGUGGUUGACGCUUUGAACCCAUUGGAUUGAGCAAGUCUACUGGGAAAUGCCGUUGUUUUCAAUUGGGUUGUGAUUGCUGACGUGGCGUGCUGCUAUUGGUUGAUUGGUGGUCGUCCGCCCGUGCGAAUUUCCAAUUGAUGGUCGUUCGUUCUCACGCGUGAAUUCUUUUAUUUGCUUGCCCAGGCGUUUAGCAAUCCUUUUGUUUCCUUUUGUACGGGUCUUUGACCACCGGGUAAACUAGCAAGGGAGAGGUCUCCCUCAAUUCCUCAAUUCUUGGCUUUUGCAACAAAGCUGUUGGCUGAAGAGUGGCAGAGCUGGUCAAUCCACAUCAAUCAACUCAAUCCAUCAAUCCGUUGUACCAGAAGCUUCUUUCUCAUGGAUGAGAGGUCAGACUAUCAACUAAACCAUGAAGAAAUGUGGAAAUUGCUCUCUAAAGGAAGGAAUAUGAAGAUUUGAAGUUGACAUCUCGAAGAAGUAGUUAAAGCUGGAAAUGACCAUACUUUGGGUUUUGUUACUAGUGGAUCUGCUCUAUUGCAUGGUGCUACUCAGACAAGUGCCUCACCCUGGUCUUCAGCAUCAAUGAUAUUUCCUCCAACCCUAGGCAUGCCUUUAAAUGCUGAAUGGAAUGGGUAUCAGAUAGUUUGUUUCUGACAUCACUUCUCUAUUGUACACUGCAUUUGUCUUCAUGAUGACAUUUAUUGUACGAUUCAUGUGUUGAAUGUUCAUCUGAUGUUCAAAUUGUGGGUGGCAUUUGACAGAUGGUGUUAUCUUUGCUUGCUGAAUACCGUAUAUGAAUUUCAUCUGAUACAUUUGAAAAUCUGUCACUGUUUCCAAUUUGUGCUUGUCAAUGUGUAAGGUUUAACGUAUGAGGUUAUAGUGUAGUGAACAAGUGCUUUCUUAGUUAUAAUUGAGAUGAAGAAACUAAUUCUUAUCUUUUUGUGCCACGGUAGACUAUCUUUUUACUCACCUUUACUGUGAUAAAGAUCUUCAGAGGCUGUGUUUCUUUUUUUUCAAGACUUUGAAGUUAAUUGAAGUUAAUAAUGAUUGUUGUACUCUGCAUCUCUUUUAAAAAUUGACAAUAGGCUUGCUUUGCUAUUUCAUAGGUAAUUUUCUUUUAUACGUAUUUCAUAGGUAUUUUGUAGGUAAUUUUCUUUUAUUUUUUUUGGAUUUGGAUUAAUAUCGUUUGAUUAAAGUCUGAAAUGUCAUUAUUGCUUUGCUAAGCAUACUAUCUAUAGAACUUAUUCAAUGCUUGGCUUAAAACCUCAGGCUGUUAACAGUUGAAGUAGUUAAUUUCAAACCAUGUGAAAUGUGUGAAGUAUGUCCCAAUUAACGAUGAUUAACAAACUAAUGCUGACUGUGACAAUCAGGGAAUAGUGAACUUGAUGAAUCUGCUUUGAAACCUAUGUUCUUAAUAAUAUUGAGAUUAGCAAAACUUUAUGACCAACGUUGGACUAAUUUUGAGAUUUUACAAAAAAUGAAAAAUUGGAGAGCAACUCAUAGAAACUUUUUUGUUAUUUUCCUUCCCUAUAUAUUUAGAGUUUUGUGUUCCAUUUUAGGGAUUUUUAAUAGUCACAUGUGCUUGUGUCUUCUUUCUAUGGGAAUAGAAUAGAUAUCAAAAGUUUGAUUAAAUAAGUUGUUGCAAAAACUCAACAAUCCAUGUAAACCCUGUGAAUAUUCAAUAGGAGCAACCCUGAAACAUAAUUGAAUACCAAUUUUUUAGAUGAAUAUUGCCUUCACUAUUUUUCUUUACACCUGAAAAUUUUUAUAGAUUCUUGAUGCUAGAGUAAUAUGAACUUUAUUGGGAAUAAAAGCUGAAUUACAUGACAUUAUUUAGAGUUGCAUAUAUUUUGGCUUUUGGAUUGGAGUAUGUCAUUAGAAUAUAAAGAUAUCGUCUCUGGAGAAGUUUCUGCUUCAUUUUUACAUUUUAGGAUCUUCUUGGCCUAUUUGUUUGCAUGAUUUUAUUUCCUUUUUCACCUUAUCUUCCAUUGGCAUUUUGUGUAAAUUGCACAGCUGCAUGAUCAAGUUGUGGAAAAGUUUACUUGCAUACCAUCUCCAAGGAUCUGGCACAUCUAAUAGUUUCACUUUGGUUCUUCAGCAGUUUCUUUCGAAAUUGCUCAUUACACUUCUGGGUUGCGUUGCAGGCAUUUUGUAAACAAGGCAUAACUGGGCACAUAAAUUUUAAAACUGUCCACCGCGCAUUUGCGCGGUGAUCUCCUCCUAGUAAUCUAUAAAUCAAGGAAACUGUCAUCAUCUGGGGAUUGAAAUGUCAAGUCAGAUCGACAACUACUGCUCUAUCUUUAGUUCUCAUUCUUUUUCCGUUAUUUCAGAUUGUUUAAGCAAGUGUUUGGAAUCAGUAUAUGCUAUCACCAGAACAUGUUAAUUAUUGUUAAAUCACUGUCACCCUUUUUCUUAUUCUCGAAUCCUCUCUUCUUGUUUUGUGCGUCG